rnacentral:misc_RNA from 1 species
CCGUGACACCCGUCUCACCACCCACCUUCUACCGCUGACCACACUUGCACGUACAAGCACCGUCGUCUGGCCCCCCAUCCCCUUCUUCUGGUGCGCUUGAAAGAGGGAAGAAAAGUGCGGCCACAGGCGGUAGAAGCACAGAGGAAAGCUCAUCCCUCUUCAUCGAACUUCCUCCUCUUGCCUACCCCUCGUCCCGCCCUCUCAGCCGUGCGACACCAGCUCCCGGCGCCAUCACACUCGCCCUCCGGAGUUAUUAGUCUCGUCUUGCUACUUCUCAUCCUGUUAUUCUCGUUGCCUCAUUCCUCAUUGCCGUUGUUUGUGUGUGUGUGCACGCGCGCCCCGAGUGGCUGACCUCCUCCACCGCUGCAUUGCCUGUCUUGUGUGUCUGUGGGCGUGCGUGUGCUGCCGUUGGAGCGACUUGGCGAGCCCUGCCGCCGCCCCCCCCCUCACAAAGAAAGAGGCACAAUGCUCAACGAGGUGCACGUGAACGCAGACCCGAACACCAUCUCCACCUUGGAUGAGCCGGUGCUUCAGACGCUGCUGCGCGAUGCCAAGGCGAUCGGCCGCAAGCUCGUUGUGGUUGUGUGCCCCCCUCUCGGAGCUGAUAAGGAGCUUCACGAUUGGGAUCUCUGGGGGCCGCUGUUCCUGUGUCUCAUUCUGGCCUCCAUCCUCACCAUCAACGCCAGCGAUGACCAGGGCGCCGCCGUCUUCUCUGCGGUCUUCAUCUUUGUGUGGCUUGGCGGUCUUGUCGUCACCGUCAAUGCCAAGCUCCUCGGCAGCAAGAUCAUGUUCUUUCAAACGUACUGCGCCAUCGGCUACUGCUUGGCGCCCAUCUGUCUCGGCGCUCUCUUGUGCUGCGUCCUUCCGUGGUUUUUAUUGAACCUCUUGCUGUGCUUCAUUGCGUGGGCAUGGGCUUGUUGGGCAGCCCUGCGCUUUUUCCGAAACACAGUGAGCGCCGACCGUGAGGUGCUGGUUGUGUACCCCGUCGGGCUCUUCUACAUCUUCUUCACCUGGAUGGUUCUGGUUGGUAUUUAGAACUAGCCCGCGAUAUUUCGUUUGGCGGUGUGGUGACCGUGCUUCACACACAAGCCCACCACCAGCAGCACGUCAGAGACCACAAGGUCCAUGAUGACGUCAAAAACCUUCACGUAUGGGGGGAGGGGCCGAGGGGAGGCAGCCAGGCACGUGUAAGUGCUGGGUGCACAGAAAGGCAGGCACACACACACACACACACACAUUGCGGUCCCUGUGCAACUGCCGCCAUUUCCUUCCGUUUCUCACUUCCUCGUUCGUAUCGCGUUUGCUUUCCUACGUGUGGGUGCGCCGGUUGGCGCGCCUUCUGUGCCAAGGCGUGCGCCCGCCGACGAGAGUGCGUGUGCGUGUGCUCUCUCCUAUCGCUCUGCCGUCCUUUGUUUUUUUUUUUGUGCUCGUGUCUCUCUCUCUGUGUAAUCCCUGAUGACGUAGGACACCUCAGUGCGUCGUUUCGCAGGGUCCCGCUCACCCACUCGCUGAGGGAGGGUGCCGUGGUGCCCCCGCCAUCCCUACCCAUGCCGGCCCGCCUCUGGUGGUCAGAAGGUCGAGUGCCUAUGACGGAGGGAGGUCAGUGGGAUUCAUCGCUGCUGAUGUUGGUGGUGCUUCGGAGCGACCUGCGACAGCGACCACACGCUUGGGCCAUCCGUGUGAUGGGCGAAGUGUCCGCGUGACUCGAGCGUAUUCCACUCCCGGCCCGCACACUGCCUGCUGAUGGUGAGGAGACUACGCCAACGCUGAAGAUGCACAGGGUGGCGACCGGCAUGAUGGAGGGAGUGCCUGCGAGGCGGCCUGCGGAGGUGCGGGGUGGUGGGUAGAGUGUGAAACAAUGACCGUGCUCAGCUGACUGAGCUGGCGCACUACUGUGCCGGCGUGCCUACGGCUGCCUCGCUCCAGGCGAUGCGGGGUCUGUGGCGUGCCAGGAAUGGAGAAUCGCUUGAGUUGACGUUUUGUGGCAGAAUGCUCACGUGG